rnacentral:lncRNA from 1 species
GAGCCCACUCACAGCCCCCAGUGGUGGAAAGCCAAGCUUCCCUCUGUUGUCCCUGCUGCCUGUAGAUCACACAAGAGGCACCAUAUGAGACUUAGCAUCCCACUGCCCUUAGCCCACACAAGAGGUGCCAAGCCACCCAUAGUCUUCACAAGGAGCACCUGGUCUCCUGUAGCCUGAGCAAGUGGCUUCUCACCACACUUAGCCUGCAUCAGAGGUGCCCUGCCCUCUUAGAGCCACAAGUGCACACCUUAUGUCAAGAGUUCCUUGCCCUUUUUGGAGGUUUAAGUUCUUCUGCCAGUGUUCAGUAGAUAUUCUGUGUGAAUUGUUUCACAUGUAGAUGUGUUUGUGGGAGAAGGUGUGCAUGAUGUCUUACUUCUCUACCAUCUUGAUCCUUCUUCUCAAAAAUUACUUUUCUAUUCUGAUGUCUCAUAUGCCUAGAUAGAGGCAAAUGUAAUUGAUGUUAAGAAGUCUUUAUUUGAUUAGAUUUUGAAAAAAAUAUUUAAGUCUUUCGGGAAAAUAUUUAGUUGUCAUUUGUCAAUUUAAAUAUCAAAGCAAAAUCAGGAGUUCCCAUUGUGGCUCAGCAGUAAUGAACCCAACCAGUAUCCAUGAUGAUAUGGGUUCAAUCCUUGGCCCUAUUCAGUGGGUUAAGGAUCUAGCAUUGCUAUCAGCUAUGGUGUAGAUUGUAGAUGUGGCUCAGAUCUGGCAUUGCUAUGGCUGUGGUGUAGGCCAGUGGCUACAGCUCCAAUUUGACUCCUAGCCUGGGAACUUCCAUAUGCCUCAGGUACGGCCCUAAAAAUAAACAAAGAAACAAAUAAAUACAAAAGUAAAGUCAGUGUUUUUUCAGUAAUCUGUACAAAAUUUGUAAUUUUGAUAUAGUAGCCUAUAUGCAGGUUGGCCUGAAAACUGUUGCUGAUUGUAAGUAAUUCAGACUUUACAGGUCAUACAGUGAUGUAUUUCCUUAGUUCCUGGGAUCUGGCACUCUAACAAACUCUUAGAGCUGAAGCAGGAGCAGCCGUUUUUAUUAAAUAAAAAAAAAUCAUGUUAUACAAAGAACAAAACAAUUGCUUAGACAAGGGAUGUAAGAAUUUAGUUAUAUCUGACUCAAAUGAAAAUGAAAUAAGCUAAUUUUGAUUCAAAGCUGCAGACUUUGCCUAGUUGUGAAAUGAAGGGUUUGCGAGGUUGUUGUCAUGGCAACCAGCACUGAGGGAGCUAAGCUUUGAGUGUCCUUGUCCUCCAUCACUGUCAGGUUAGAGAUCCCCUAUCUGGAGGAAUGGUGUUGGCGAGUUGGUAGGAAGAAAUCACCACUUACCAACAUUAAAUCUGUCCUUCAUAUAUUAACUCAUAGUUAUGAUUCUUACGUUACUAUCAGGUAACAAAUUGGAACUACUUCCAAUAGAAAACCAAAAGCUUUGGGGGUCUUUUUCUGCCUUUUAAAAAUACUUUGCUAGGGAUUUUCUCAAUUCAUUGCAUUUCUACACAGACCUCUGUUUACUUUGGGGAGCAAUUAGUUCUGGUCUUGCAGAAAUACAGUAAGGUGAUUUCCCUUCACUUACCUCUCUAUCCCUGACUUAGUUAUUCCCUUAACAGCACCAUAUAGUCAACAUGUUAAGAAAAAUUGAUGGCACAAUGAUUUUCUCAAGGUAGGGAAGAGAUUGAGGGGAUAUACAAUCUCUUUCAGAAGGUUUUCCGGAAGCUCCUUUAAGUAAAGAUGAGACCUACUGCUGUUGAAAGUCUCUUUAAGGAGCUGGCAGUAGUUUCUGAAACAGAAUUUUCAUUGAGAAUUUUCCAAAUCUUUCUCCCUACUUCUCUUCUACUAUUCACCUCCUUUUCUCCAUCAUCGCAAGAGUAAGUAUAAAAUGAACUCCUGUAGAUUGUUUGUUAACAUGGCUUAAUGACAGUUAACAUAGGAAAGAAUGUUGGAAACAUUUACAAAGUGGAAUAAUAGCAAUAAUAAUUUCCAAGCCUUUAAUGUGAGAUUUUACGCUAAACACUUUAUAUACUAAUAGUUCUUUUAAUUCUCAGUAAUCUAAUAAAAGAUAUUUUCAUCUUCAUAUAAAAAUGAAGAAAUUGAGUCUUAGGAAGGUUUAACAACUUGUUACACAGUCCAUAACUAACAUGCAUCAGAACUAGAACUCAAAGAUUUUUUUGGCUCCCAAGUCUGUGGUUGUUAACUACUCUAUUGCCUUCAAGUCUUUAGGAAGUUGUUAGAUUGAUGUUAAUGUGACACUUUUCUUCUGAAUAACUGUCUAUUUCUUAUUAGACAAAAAUCAUAUCAAAUACCUACUGUUAUCACUGAUAAAGAGUCAGAUUUUCAUUUCAGAGGCUUUCUCUCACUCAAUGUAAGGAAGGAUCGUUCCUGGAAGUAGUGUCUCAUGUAGUAGGGAAAGGGCACUGAUUGGAAACCUAUUAAAACCACAUUUGAAUAACAAGGAAGGGGAGGAAGGAAAACUCUCAGAUAUGUUUAUUAAAAAUAUAAAGUCCAUAUAUUAAAAUAUCAUAGACAAUGCAGAUUAUCUGAAGAAUUAUAUUACUAUCAAAGUUUUGGCAAUAGAUUUCCAAUGGUCUUGGUCUCGAUAUCUUGGGGAAACUGUCUCAUCAGAUGUUGUUUGUUUUAAUUCUUGAUAACCUUUACUUUCAAUUUAUCAGAUAAUGUGCAGGUCUACUCAGGGCUGAGUGCUUUCUUUACAUGUGUCAUGUGAAUCCAAGAGUCUAUUCCUUGGAGUUUGGUGGUAUAAAUACUGAUUAGCAGUACUUGAUAUGGGCCUUCCCAAUGAGGUUGGAGAGAGUUCUUCUAGAGAUAUCUUUUCAAGCAGAUGAAAUUUCCAGAUUGCAAGGGUGAUACUUAACAUUUUUGUCUUCUGAGGGCACACCGUGAAAAGACUGCUCUAUCAAAACAAGGCUACUUUUAAUAGAAGCAGUUACACCUUUGCAAUAUUGGAGUAUGUCUCUUUUUAUCAGUUGUGGGUCCAAAGAAGCAUGAGGUAAGGCAUUGGAUGUCCUAUGACUAUAUGAAGGGAUGAGAGCUUAUGAGUUCCAAAAGGGCUGAUCUGAGAUUUAGGACCAAGGGCCAAGGUUUUUGGAAGACCUCUACAAAUUUCCCACUUGAGUCAUAAUAAUACUGUUAGCAUAUUAACUCAGAGAAUUGAGAAUGCUAAGAACAAUGAAGGUAUUGUAAAAUCAGCCAAACAUCGAAGACUUAUUGAGGCACCUGGACAGUAGAAUGGGUUCCUCCAUCAUUACGAAGUUGAAGAAGAGUUCCCCAGAUAAAGGUAAUCUUUCCUAAAAGGGGUUUAGCUACAGAAGAGAAAGUAGCCUGUCUUUAAGAGAAGGCUUUAGUCCAGUAUGAAAACAUUCAUACCAUGACUAAAAUAUAUUUACAUCCAUGAGACAGAGGAAGCUGUUUGAAAUCCAUCUUCUAGAUCUUGAAUGGUCCAUUAGCUGGUUUAUCAUGUCUGGGAGCAGUAAUGAACAGGCUUCCCUGGGUUAUACUUUGAACAAGUGAGGAAGGUACUUUUUGUAAUCUUGUUAAUGUUUCCUCACCAAUAUUCAUUCAAGAAAGCUAGCAUUUUUUUGUCAGUAACCAAGUGGUUUAAUACAUGUGCAAUGGUAAAGAGUGGGAAUUUUAAAGUCUCCAGUAGGAUGGGGUUAUUUGUUCCAAACCUGAAUUGUUUUUUGUUUUUGUUUUUUUUUUUAAUCAAACUAACAAUCAUGAAAUUUCCAAUCUUGUUUUUCCUUUUCUGAGGCCAUUUGUUGGGCCUUUCUAGCCAGUUUUACUAAGUUAUCAUUUGGGGAAAUAUCCCUUUGUAGCAGGACAGAGGUUUGGCUGCUAUUAAUUCUUUAAUCACAGCAUUUCUUGCAGAAAUACAGUAAGGUGAUUUCCCUUCACUUCUAGAGAGUAGAGUUUAGAAUGUCCCGAAAUUUUAAUAAUAGCUUAAGUAGCAGGUAAAAGUAUUGCUUUAAAUAGGGAUAACUGUUAAUUUUAUUUCUACUGGAAGUUGGGAAGACUGUUGCUUCCACAACAUUCCAAAAUCAUGGGGUGCUCCAAAAUCAUAUCUACCGUCAGUAUACAUAUUGGCAGUUUUGUCCUUAACUAAAGUACAAGCCCACUUAAGAGCAUAUAAUUCAGCAUGUUGGACUGAAGUAGCCAUAGGUAAAGAUAGAGCCUCAACUAUAUCAAAAGAAGUUGUAACACCAAGCAUGCCCAGCAUAAUAUUCAUCAUUGUCACCUUAUAAUAAGAACCACCAGUGAACAAUGAGAAGUCAGCAAUACCCAAUUAAAUUUCUUGUAGAUCAUUAUGAGGAGCCAAGGGAUGGUCUUUCAGUGCUAAGUAGUCAUGACAUACUUUGUUGGUAACAGACAAAGCAGGGGAGAGAAGCAUGCUUAGGUUAUUACAAAGUAUAAGACUUAUGUAUGUGGCAGUUAACAAAAGGACUUCAUAGGAGGUGAGGUGACUACCUGGAGAUGUUGUGAUGAGAAUUCAGGAGAGCUUCUACUGAAUGAGGUACAAAAAUGGCUAGA